GCCCUUGCAGUCUCCGGGGUGGAGAUGCCGCCUUGGUACGGCGGAGAGGCGGGUUCGACCCCCGCCAAGGGCUCCA
rnacentral:tRNA from 1 species